GACGAACGCUGGCGGCGUGCCUAAUACAUGCAAGUCGAACGCAGUGGGGACGGGUGAGUAACACGUGGGUAACCUCCCAUCAGAGGGGAUAACACUUGGAAACAGGUGCUAAACCGCUACUGAUGGAUGGACCCGCGGUGCAUUAGCUAGUUGGUGAGGUAACGGCUCACCAAGGCCACGAUGCAUAGCCGACCUGAGAGGGUGAGCGGCCACACUGCGACUGAGACAGGGCCUAGACUCCUACGGGAGGCAGCGUGAGGGAAUGUUCGGCAAGUGACGAACGUCUGACCGAGAAAGGCCGCGGGAGUGAAGAAUGUUUGCGGAUCGUAAAACGCGAUUGUUAUAGAGGCGGUGUCUGAAGAGAAAGCAACGGCUAACUACGUGCCAGCAGCCGCGGUAAUAC
rnacentral:rRNA from 1 species